rnacentral:rRNA from 1 species
AUGCAGUCGAGCGGCAGCGGGAAAGUAGCUUGCUACUUUUGCCGGCGAGCGGCGGACGGGUGAGUAAUGCCUGGGGAUCUGCCCAGUCGAGGGGGAUAACAGUUGGAAACGACUGCUAAUACCGCAUACGCCCUACGGGGGAAAGGAGGGGACCUUCGGGCCUUUCGCGAUUGGAUGAACCCAGGUGGGAUUAGCUAGUUGGUGGGGUAAUGGCUCACCAAGGCGACGAUCCCUAGCUGGUCUGAGAGGAUGAUCAGCCACACUGGAACUGAGACACGGUCCAGACUCCUACGGGAGGCAGCAGUGGGGAAUAUUGCACAAUGGGGGAAACCCUGAUGCAGCCAUGCCGCGUGUGUGAAGAAGGCCUUCGGGUUGUAAAGCACUUUCAGCGAGGAGGAAAGGUUGGCGCCUAAUACGUGUCAACUGUGACGUUACUCGCAGAAGAAGCACCGGCUAACUCCGUGCCAGCAGCCGCGGUAAUACGGAGGGUGCAAGCGUCAAUCGGAAUUACUGGGCGUAAAGCGCACGCAGGCGGUUGGAUAAGUUAGAUGUGAAAGCCCCGGGCUCAACCUGGGAAUUGCAUUUAAAACUGUCCAGCUAGAGUCUUGUAGAGGGGGGUAGAAUUCCAGGUGUAGCGGUGAAAUGCGUAGAGAUCUGGAGGAAUACCGGUGGCGAAGGCGGCCCCCUGGACAAAGACUGACGCUCAG